rnacentral:rRNA from 1 species
CAGUAGCCGCGGUAAUACAGAGGAUGCAAGCGUUAUCCGGAAUGAUUGGGCGUAAAGCGUCUGUAGGUGGCUUUUCAAGUCCGCCGUCAAAUCCCAGGGCUCAACCCUGGACAGGCGGUGGAAACUACCAAGCUGGAGUACAGUAGGGGCAUAGGGAAUUUCCGUUGGAGUGGUGAAAUGCGUUGAGAUCGGAAAGAACACCAACGGCGAAAGCACUCUGCCGGGCCGACACUGACACUGAGAGACGAAAGCUAGGGGAGCAAAUGGGAUUAGAGACCCCGGUAGUCCCUGUCUCUUAUAC